AAAUCUAGGAGCAGGAAUUGAUUUUGUCCCAUUGAAGGCCCCACAAGUAGGAUAUGGUUCUCAAAGUUUUCCCCUUUAAAAUGAGAAAGGGUCCCCUCCCAUAUGCACAGACUCACGUCUCCAUCGUCCCAAAGAUUGUCUCAAGCACCAGAUUCUUCCAGGUGGAAAUUUUCCGUGCUCCCUGCUGCAGUGGCGCUGCUGUUCCAAUGUCACUUCACCUGGAACAAAGGAGUCCUGGAAUCAAGUCCCUUCCACAGACAGAGUUGUGUCUGUUUCCUACAAAGCUGCCUGUUCAAUACAGAGAUAGAAAAUGUUAGUAAAGAACCUUCCUUUGAACAGACUGCUCAACUUCCAAUGAAAAUACUGUGAUAUGUUGCAAGUGUUGGAGCAUCAGUUGAGAGCUCACACAUUUGUGUCGCUGUAUAAAAUGCACUGGCCGCAAUAUUUGUUGCUGCCGUGCACACAGAUGUGUGUGUUUAUUUAUUUAUGUUUAAAAUGCAACUACAUUAUUUUAGAGCUUUUACUGGUACAUCGAAAAUGCAUCAGUGAUACAUAAGAUAGUUCUAUUCAGUAUGUAUGUAUCUAAUAGAGUAAGAGAAGAGGGGCUGUAGCUCUCAUUAGCAUCUUGCAGGCGUGAUACUUGCCCCAUUUAGGUCAGGACUACAUCCUUGACUAAGGUGAGUACAAAUGAUCUCAAUCAGGUUGCGCUUGAAUAGACAAAUGCACCAGAUGCAAAAUGCUCUUUUCUUCCUUUCUGGCUUUGUAUAAGCAUUACAAUGUCUGUAGCCUGGAUGUUCUACAGAAGCUUCUGUCCUGUGGUAUCUCACAAUUUUCUGUAGGGAAAUCAGAGUUUUUAUUCAUUGCUCCCCUUUGCUGUGUAGAAUUGCCGAGCGGAAUUUAAGACAAGCAGCUCAGUGAAGGAUCUGUGCAAGAUCUGCAAUGAGCAGAGGUCAGGAAGUCUCACAAAGAGCCAAGAACUGCAGGGAAUGCGGGAUACCAAAAAUACUGACAGUACCUGAUGAUUGAAAGUGCUACUUUUCCAGCAAAAGAAUUCCACGUUACUGUUAUGAUCCAAUGAGUUUCUUGUGCCAGUGCUAUCCCCCAAGUUCUGAAAAUAUUCUCAGAAUAAUGGAACAGAUAUCUCACUGAUCCUGCUUCAGGUUUUAUAAGCCAACAGUUUACAGUAAAUUUUGAGUUUAUGUAGUUCAUUUUCAAGGGUGAGCAGAGGUUUCACACUUUACAGUGCUGAUCUUGUGAGGUAAGCAAGUAAAUACUAUCAUUAACUGCUGACAAGUGAUCUGUAUUUCACUCUAAGCUGAUAUCAUUGAGCAACAAAUCCUUUCAAGAUGAGGUAGCUAGCUCAGAUCCGGAGGGAAGGGAGUGUCUUGCAUCACCCCACAGCUCACUUUUUGGAUGUCAGCUUGCUGCUGGACUCAGAAGGGAGUCCCAUCCAGUCUUCUUCAGCCAGAAGUUAGCAGCUGAGACACAGUCUCAAGGGUUAUAUGGAAAGGGAGUGAGCUCAGGCAUCUGUAGAGGACUCUGGAAGGACAAAAUAAUUUAACAGUUGGUAAUAUGUUAGUGAAACUUUUGAAGAAAUAUGUAGGAAUACAAAAACUUCUUUUGUUCUAUGACUUCACAGAAAAGGGCUUUGACACUUGAAUUUCCCAGUAGGAAGAAAAAGAAGGCUUUGCAUUCACAGAUAGUUCUCAAAGGAUUUGGUGGUUUUGAAUACUGGAAAAUUUGAACAAAUGUCUUUAGCCAAAUGCUCCUCAUUUUCAGAACAGGAUAGUUAAUUUUUUGGAGGUGAGGUCCUCUGCAUCUUUAAAAAUUGAAGAGUACAUUGGAAACCCAUUCCUCAGCAUGUGGCAUGCAUUCAAAGCAAAUCAACAUGUAAGAAUUACAUUCCAUUUCUUUCCACGUAGAGGUUUAAUCACACCACAUUCCUUUAGUAGUAAUGAGAGCUGGCUGGUGUUACACCACAUUCUUCCUCAGCUUCUGUGAUGAUAUCAAGAAAGCAAAACAGUUCUGCAACUAUUGUCAAGCUUUUCUGAGUAAAUUAAAAGGUCAAAACAGCAUUUUCCUGAGAUAAUCUUUAAAAAUAAAGCUAUUU
ensembl:lncRNA